GUAGGGACAGAACCAGCUGGUAUCUAACGGUACUCAGUGGACAUAAUUCCGCUUACCUAUGCGGUAAAUCCGCAUACCUAAGGGCUUCUGAAUAUGACUGAAAAUCAUGGUGUCCCCGGUUCGAAUCCGGGUCCCGCCA
rnacentral:tRNA from 1 species